UCUCCGUUGGUGAACCAGCGGAGGGAUCAUUACAGAGUUUUUCUACUCCCAAACCCCUGUGAACUUAUACCUUUACUGUUGCUUCGGCGGGUCCACGCCCCGGAAGGCCCAAAAAGCCGCCGGAACCAGGCGCCCGGCGGCGGACCCAAACUCUUUUAUUUCUUACUUUGCAUGUCUGAGUUGAUUCAUAAACAAAUGAAUCAAAACUUUCAACAACGGAUCUCUUGGUUCUG
rnacentral:misc_RNA from 1 species